rnacentral:piRNA from 1 species
UGACAAGGUUUUAGGUGUCUUGAUGG